CCCAACAAAACUGUUUUUUUAACAAUCCUCCGACUUUCUUCGGCCCCUUCUCUGAGAUCAGCCCACACUGGCUGCCCUCGGGCCCUCCAGCUGCUCUCUCCUGGUCAUUCUUCCACCCACCGCCCUCACGGCGCUGCCACCACUACAGAGAAAGGGCUUUCCCUUCCUGGGAUGUCCCCAGGCUCAUCUUCCAGGCCUGACCUCAUCCUCUCUCUGCUGCACCUGACAGUUACUCACCCCCAUGUGAAUCCCCCUGCCUCUCUGGCUUCCACGGCCACAGCGUCCUCGCUGGCUGUCCUCCAGCUCUGCCCAUUCUCCUCCGUCUCCCCCAUGGGCUCCGAGCCCUCUGAUUUCCCUCCCUGCUAUUCCCAGGGAAUGUGACCUUGGCCCUCGGCUCUUCUCAAUCCACCUGCUAUCCCCGGUUGGAGCCGCCCGGCCACUGUUAGCAGUUUCCGCUGACACCUAUGUUCAGAGAACUCCCAAUUCCAGACCAAACCCUUGAGGUUCUGGCCCACAGACCCAACUGUCAAAACGGACCUCAUCAACUUCCCCUCUGUAUCAGCAUCUUUUCUUAGAGGGCAGCUGACCGCUCACCACCAUCAUCCUGGCUAAAAACCUGGAAGCCAUUUUCACACAGCUCUCUGUUAAGCACCCACUCCCACCAGACAUCAAGCCUGCUGCCCAGACAGUUCUCCAAGCCAUCACCUCUUCUCCAGCACUACCCCCAGUGUUUCGCAGUCUCACGUCGGGGUCCUGAAGUAGCCUCUUAGCUGGGCCGCCUCAGUUUCAGCCUUGUCCCCCUGAACUCCACAUACAGGCACGCUAAGCUCACAAAAAUAGAAACCUGACGAGUCUAUGCUCCCCGGCUUGCUGCUCUUCAAUGGCUCCCCUUCGUGCAGUGAUUACCUAAUGUACUUGACCCUGAGGUUCGCUGUCGAGAGAGGUCACUGAGAGGACAUGACCACCAGCUGGCCCGUGAACUGGGGCCCUGGCAAUCAGCAGUCAGAGGCCCCUCACCCUUUACCCUGGUCUCUGGUGAACACAGCCAUUCUUACAGCUGAAAAAAAACCACCCUCGAUGCUGAGGACUACAGCCGAGGCUCCCGACGGGCUCCAGGCUCGCAUAUCUGAUGCUAACUUCGCAUGGGCGGCCACUGCUUAUCCCCUGGUCUCUCAACUGUACGGCUGGGUUCCUCGUUGUCCUCUCUCCCUCCAAAUGUCCCCUCCCCACACGCCCCCCAAGCCUUUGUCUUCUCAGUAAAUGAUACCACUGUGUA